UACAGAGGGUGCAAGCGUUAAUCGGAAUUACUGGGCGUAAAGCGUGCGCAGGCGGUUGUGCAAGACAGAUGUGAAAUCCCCGGGCUCAACCUGGGAACUGCAUUUGUGACUGCACGGCUGGAGUGCGGCAGAGGGGGAUGGAAUUCCGCGUGUAGCAGUGAAAUGCGUAGAUAUGCGGAGGAACACCGAUGGCGAAGGCAAUCCCCUGGGCCUGCACUGACGCUCAUGCACGAAAGCGUGGGGAGCAAACAGG
rnacentral:rRNA from 1 species